UAGUCUUUUAGCUCAACACUCCCCCUCCCCCAAGUUGGAGGGGUAGACCACCUUCAACUUGGCCAACAGAUGAUGAUGAACAGUGCCAGGCAGAGGCUUGGUGAGGACAUCAGCUAACUGGUGAGAAGUGGAGACAUGAGAGAGAAAUCAGCCCAUCAGUCAGCUUAGUACGAACAAAAUGCCAAUCGACUUCAAUAUGCUUGGUCCGCUCAUGAAAGACUGAAUUCUUUGCUAUAUGUAGAGCGGCCUGGUUAUCACAAAAAACAGAAAAGGGAAAGGACAUAGAAACACCAAGGUCAGUGAGCAGUCUAGAAAUCCAAGAUAAUUCAGCAACCACCUUACUAAGUGCUCUGUAUUCUGCUUCAGCAGAGGAUAAAGAGACUACUGGCUAUUUUUUGGACUUCCAACUUACCUGGCUGCCACCCAAAAGCACACAGAAACCAGUAACAGACCUGCGAGUGUCAGGACAAGCUGGCCAAUCACUGUCUGAAAAGGCAUGUACUGAAAAAUCAGGAGUAUCAGAAUAGAAAAGCCCCAAAUCCAUAGUGCCCUUAAGAUACCUAAGAACAUGCAGGACACCAAUCAUGUGAGGGACUCUAGGAGACUUCAAAAAUUGACUCAGAUGUUGGACAGCAAAGCAAAUGUCAGGGUCUGGUAUGUGUCAAAAAUAUGAGCUUGCCAACCAAGCUCCUGUAUUGGUCAGGAGAGGAGAAUAGAUCACCAGAAUCAGCAUGUAACUUGGCAUUAAGAUCUAAAGGACAAACCACAAGAGAAACAUCUACACAGUCAAAUUGGUGCAACAAGUCAGAUACAAACUUCUGCUGAUUAAGAAGCACUUCACCAGCAACAUCAUAUACCUCAAUGCCCAGAAAAUAAUGCAAAGACCCCAGGUCUUUAAUCCUGAACUGGUCAUCCAGGAAGUGUUUGAGGGCAGAAAUUUCAGUAGUAUCAUCUCCAGUGAUAAUAAUGUCAUCCACAUACAAUGCAAGAACCACAAGACACCCAGGAUGGCCCUUGACAAACAAAGAGUAAUCAUUCAUAGAAUGAGUAUAGCCUCUGGAGUAUAGAGCAUGAGACAAUUUGGCAUACCACUGUCUGGAAGCAUGCCUCAAUCCAUAAAGGGAUUUUUUUAACUUGCACACAAUGGGGGCAGAAACAGAGGAAUCAGAAGAGGCAGAAACACACAAACCUGGAGGAAGCUUCAUAUACACCUCCUCAUCUAGGUCACCAUGCAAGAAGGCAUUGUUAACAUCAAGUUGAAAUAGACCCCAAUGAUUCUUAACAGCCGCAGCAAUUAAGCAUUUUAACAGUAGACAUUUUAACCAAAGGGGAAAAGGUUUCUGUGAAAUCAACUCCUUCAAUUUGAGUGUCUCAUCUAAUAACAAGCCUAGCCUUGUAUCUUUCAACACUACCAUCAGCCUUAUAUUUGACUUUAUAAACCCAUUUGCAGCCUAUGGGCUUCUUACCAGAAUGGAGGGGAACAAUAUCCCAAGUAUGGUUUGCAUCCAAUGCCUCAAACUCCUUCAUCCAAUGCCUCAAACUCCUUUCUCAUGGCAUCUUGCCAGACUGGGACUGAUGCAGCUUGAGAAUAAUAGAGAGGUUCAGAUUCCAAAGAAGAAGAAGAGGAAGAAGAGCCAGAAAAUGAAGGUAUGUGACAAACAUAAUCAUUGAGAUAAGAGGGAGGAUUGUGUUGCCUUUCAGAUCUUCUGUGGACAGUAGGUGCUGUAGAGGAAGAAAUAGCAGGAGGAGAAGUAUCAGGAUUGAAGGGUGGACUGGAAGGAGGAUGAUUAAGUUCAGAAGGUAUUGAGGGAGAAACAGAAGAGGGAACAAAACUGGAAUCAGAAGAAAAAGGUGCAGAAGGAGAAGGGAGAGAAGAACAAAUUGGAACAGACAGAUCUGUCUCAGAAUAGGGAUGCUCAGGAGAAGGUACAAAAGGAAAAACAUAAGGACCAGAGGUAACGACAGAAGCAGUUGCAAAAGGAAAGCAAGUUUCAUGAAAUAUUACAUCCCUGGACAUAAAACACUUUUUGGAAGUUAGAAGAAGGAACAGAAGGAAAAACAGAAGGACUAGAGGUAACAGCAGAAGCAGUUGCAAAAGGAAAGAAAGUUUCAUGAAAUAUAACAUCCCUGGACAUAAAACACCUUUUGGAAGUUAGGUCAUACAACCUGUAACCCUUUUUGGCAAAAGGAUAUCCCUGAAAAACACAUGAAAUAGCUCUAGGCUUUAGUUUAUCCCUCUGUGGAAUUGGGACAGUAGCAUAGGCAAGAUAGCCAAAUGCUCUUAAAUGUGAGUAAGUAGGUGCCUUCCUAUACAAUAUUUCAUAAGGGGAUUUGCUUUGAAGGAUCCUGGAUGGUAUCCUAUUAAGCAAGUAUGUAGCAGUCAAUAAACAGUCCCCCAAAAGGAUAUGGGUAAUUUGGAUUGAAAAAGUAAAGCUCUACAAGCUUCAAGAAGUGUCCUAUGUUUUCUUUCAACAACACCAUUUUGUUGAGGAGUGUGGGGACAAGUAGUUUGAUGAAUAAUGCCCAGCUGGUUGAAGAAAGAAGUACCAUCAAGACUAAACCCCAAUGCAAAAGCAUUAUCACUUCUUAUAGUUUGGACAGUAGCAUUAAACUGAGUUUUAACCAUACACAGAAAGGACUUAAUCAGGCUAAAAGCAUUGCUUUUAGACCCCAGCAGAUGUGUCUAGGUUGCUCUAGAAAAAUCAUCAACUAUAGUAAGAAAGUACCUUGAGCCAGAGGAGGUGGGUGUGUGAUAAGGACCCCAAGUAUCUACAUGAAUNNNNNNNNNNNNNNNNNNNNNNNNNNNNNNNNNNNNNNNAAUAAUGCCCUGUUGGUUGAAGAAAGAAAUACCAUCAAGACUAGACCCCAAUUCCAAAGCAUUAUCGCUUCUGAUAGUUUAUACAGUAGCAUUAAAUUGAGUCUUAACCAUACACAAAAAGGACUUAAGAAGGCUGAAAGCAUUGCUUUUAGACCCCAGUAAAAGUGUCCAAGUUGCUCUAGAAAAAUCAUCAACUAUAGUAAGAAAGUACCUUGAGCCAGAAGAUGUGGGUGUGUGAUAAGGACCCCAAGUAUCUACAUGAAUCAAUUGGAAAGGUCUACAUGUACUGNNN
rnacentral:lncRNA from 1 species